UCCUAAUUGAUUAUUUCGAAUCACAUAUAGGUAAACGAGAAGAAAUCAUGGAAAAGAGUUUAUCUGACCAAGAGCAGUCUGAGAAGGAUGAUGAAAUAUCACUUUCUGAUGGGAAACGAGGUGAUGAUGUUGUUGAUGAUGAGGAACCAAAGCGGCAUUGCGCA